rnacentral:rRNA from 1 species
GACAGAGGUGCCGAGCGUUAGGCGGAAUCACUGGGCUUAAAGCGUGUGUAGGCGGAGUGCUAAGUACCUUGUGAAAUCCCACGGCUCACCCGUGGAACUGCUCGGUAUACUGGCACUCUUGAGCCACCUAGGGGCGAGCGGAACAAGUGGUGGAGCGGUGAAAUGCGUAGAUAUCACUUGGAACGCCAAUGGUGAAAACAGCUCGCUGGGGGUGUGCUGACGCUGAGACACGAAAGCCAGGGGAGCAAACGGG